GGGCGCUUAGCUCAGUUGGUAGAGCAGCUGACUCUUAAUCAGUAGGUCAAAGGUUCGAAUCCUUUAGCGCCCACCA
rnacentral:tRNA from 2 species